CGGUGGUCUAGUGGUUAUGGCGCUCGACUGCUGACCCGAAGGUCGCGGGAUCGAAUCCCGGCCACGGCGCCCGCAUUUCGAUGGAGGCGAAGUACGAGAGGCCCGGGUACUUAGAAUUAGUUCCACUUUAAAGAACUCCAGGGUGUUCCAAAUUUCCGAAGUUCUCCACUACGGCGUCUCCCAGAAUCGUAUCGUGGUUCUGGGACGUGAAGCCCCAACAUUAUUAAUU
rnacentral:lncRNA from 1 species